CAGGAUUGUUUCAUUAAGCAAAUAGACGACCUCGUCUUUGCUAUACACAAACUCAUGGGAUGGAAUUUUAAGCAGUUACGAUAUCAUAAUCAGUCAGAGGUUUGACUCUGUUGUUCAGUGAUAGACUCCACUGCUAGAGGCUUCAGGAGCUGCAGGAAAUGACAAGCCUAUCUUUUGGAUUUGUCCUGUUUAUGUUAGGUUUUGCUUGAAGAGGGAAGGAAUGAGUUGUGGUGCAUGGUAACUGUUUAUUGUUGAUUGUUCUGUGAUGGUGGAAGGCCUCUACUCCAUGCAGUUCUUCAGGAAACCAAGCUGAUGGAAGCUCUGCUGUCUUCAACUAGUUGUUCUGGUCAUCUUUGACACCAAUCAACCUUUGGGGAGUGGGGGAUUGCAUGGAAGGUCUCUGGAGGUUUUGCCAGUCUAGCCCAACAGUGGCAUAUAUCAUUUCCACCAGAAAGAACAUAGUCAUUUAGCUACCUAACUGCAAAGAAGUCUAGAAAUCAUGGAAGAAAAGGAGAAUGGAUUUUAAUGGACAAUUAGCAGUCUCUGACAUGAAAUCUGGGAAAGACAAAAUAGUGAUAAAAUGGCAAAUGAGUACCUGCUCUGGUGGAGGGUGGAAAUAAUUUUUUUUAAAUGUAUUUAGAAAGUCAGAGAAGGUAAAACUCAGUGUGGAACAAAGUCAUUGGGAAGAGUAUCACUCAAGAGAUGGAAGAGAUGGAAGAUGGGGCAGAAGAUAAACUGGAUAAAUGAAGACAAAAGAAAUAUAAAUGACUCAAUAAACACAUAUGGAUGCACUGUAUUUUGGAGAAAGAAUAUGUUUGCAAAGCUUUUAAAAUUAAAUCUUCAUGAGAAUGUAGGAGUAAAUGCCAGAUGAAUUCGUGAGUACCUAGUUUAAUGAU
rnacentral:lncRNA from 1 species